AUGAACGCUAGCUACAGGCUUAACACAUGCAAGUCGAGGGGCAGCAUGGUCUUAGCUUGCUAAGGCUGAUGGCGACCGGCGCACGGGUGAGUAACACGUAUCCAACCUGCCGUCUACUCUUGGCCAGCCUUCUGAAAGGAAGAUUAAUCCAGGAUGGGAUCAUGAGUUCACAUGUCCGCAUGAUUAAAGGUAUUUUCCGGUAGACGAUGGGGAUGCGUUCCAUUAGAUAGUAGGCGGGGUAACGGCCCACCUAGUCAACGAUGGAUAGGGGUUCUGAGAGGAAGGUCCCCCACAUUGGAACUGAGACACGGUCCAAACUCCUACGGGAGGCAGCAGUGAGGAAUAUUGGUCAAUGGGCGAUGGCCUGAACCAGCCAAGUAGCGUGAAGGAUGACUGCCCUAUGGGUUGUAAACUUCUUUUAUAAAGGAAUAAAGUCGGGUAUGCAUACCCGUUUGCAUGUACUUUAUGAAUAAGGAUCGGCUAACUCCGUGCCAGCAGCCGCGGUAAUACGGAGGAUCCGAGCGUUAUCCGGAUUUAUUGGGUUUAAAGGGAGCGUAGAUGGAUGUUUAAGUCAGUUGUGAAAGUUUGCGGCUCAACCGUAAAAUUGCAGUUGAUACUGGAUGUCUUGAGUGCAGUUGAGGCAGGCGGAAUUCGUGGUGUAGCGGUGAAAUGCUUAGAUAUCACGAAGAACUCCGAUUGCGAAGGCAGCCUGCUAAGCUGCAACUGACAUUGAGGCUCGAAAGUGUGGGUAUCAAACAGGAUUAGAUACCCUGGUAGUCCACACGGUAAACGAUGAAUACUCGCUGUUUGCGAUAUACGGCAAGCGGCCAAGCGAAAGCGUUAAGUAUUCCACCUGGGGAGUACGCCGGCAACGGUGAAACUCAAAGGAAUUGACGGGGGCCCGCACAAGCAGUGGAGUAUGUGGUUUAAUUCGACGCAACGCGAAGAACCUUACCAAGGCUUGACAUAUACAGGAAUAUAUAAGAGAUUAUAUAGCUCUUCGGAGUCUGUAUACAGGUGGUGCAUGGUUGUCGUCAGCUCGUGUCGUGAGAUGUUGGGUUAAGUCCCGCAACGAGCGCAACCCUUAUCCUUUGUUGCCAGCGGUCCGGCCGGGAACUCAAAGGAGACUGCCAGUGAUAAACUGGAGGAAGGUGGGGAUGACGUCAAAUCAGCACGGCCCUUACGUCCGGGGCUACACACGUGUUACAAUGGGGGGUACAGAGGGCCGCUACCACGCGAGUGGAUGCCAAUCCCUAAAACCCCUCUCAGUUCGGACUGGAGUCUGCAACCCGACUCCACGAAGCUGGAUUCGCUAGUAAUCGCGCAUCAGCCACGGCGCGGUGAAUACGUUCCCGGGCCUUGUACACACCGCCCGUCAAGCCAUGGGAGCCGGGGGUACCUGAAGUGCGUAACCGCGAGGAUCGCCCUAGGGUAAAACUGGUGACUGGGGCU
rnacentral:rRNA from 1 species